rnacentral:ribozyme from 1 species
UGUACUUUUCCUGUACUUUUCCCGUAGUUUUCCUGUACUUUUCUUUCCUUUUCCUAUACUUUUCUCUGUUUUUCUUGCAGUUAUAAAACUGGGAGAAAACCAAAAGAGAAAACCAAAAGAAAACCAAAAGA